CCUACGGGUGGCUGCAGUGGGGAAUUUUGGACAAUGGGGGCAACCCUGAUCCAGCCAUGCCGCGUGCGGGAAGAAGGCCUUCGGGUUGUAAACCGCUUUUGUCAGGGAAGAAAUCUUCCGAGCUCAUACCUUGGGAGGAUGACGGUACCUGAAGAAUAAGCACCGGCUAACUACGUGCCAGCAGCCGCGGUAAUACGUAGGGUGCUAGCGUUAAGCGGAGUUUCCGGGGGUAGUUGGUGCGCACAGGUGUGAAAUCCCCGGGCUUAACCUGGGAACUGCACUUGUGACUGUACGGCUGGAGUACGGCAGAGGGGGAUGGAAUUCCGCGUGUAGCAGUGAAAUGCGUAGAUAUGCGGAGGAACACCGAUGGCGAAGGCAGUCCCCUGGGCCUGUACUGACGCUCAUGCACGAAAGCGUGGGGAGCAAACAGGAUUAGAUACCCUGGUAGUC
rnacentral:rRNA from 1 species